rnacentral:lncRNA from 1 species
GAUACAAUUGAUAUCUACUCGUGAUAUUCACAGUAUUAACUAUAUCAGUUCAAGUACAUUAUAUGGCACACAUCUAUACCCAAGAGGAUAGCAGAUCUCUCUUCGAGAUUUCUAUGCUGAACCCUUUCAGCAUAUAAUCUCUGUACUUUAUAUGUGAAAGCAUAAGUAUCCAAUUGCAUCUAUCUCUAUAAAUCUUUAUAAUAUACGAUACUUGCUUUAUAUCUUUCAUAGAGAAUUCUAUAUACA